rnacentral:rRNA from 1 species
GACGAACGCUGGCGGCAUGCCUAACACAUGCAAGUCGAACGAGACCUUCGGGUCUAGUGGCGCACGGGUGCGUAACGCGUGGGAACCUGCCCUUAGGUUCGGAAUAACUCCCCGAAAGGGGUGCUAAUACCGGAUAAUGUCUUCGGACCAAAGAUUUAUCGCCUUUGGAUGGGCCCGCGUUGGAUUAGCUAGUUGGUAGGGUAAAAGCCUACCAAGGCGACGAUCCAUAGCUGGUCUGAGAGGAUGAUCAGCCACACUGGGACUGAGACACGGCCCAGACUCCUACGGGAGGCAGCAGUGGGGAAUAUUGGACAAUGGGCGAAAGCCUGAUCCAGCAAUGCCGCGUGAGUGAUGAAGGCCUUAGGGUUGUAAAGCGCUUUUACCCGGGAUGAUAAUGACAGUACCGGGAGAAUAAGCUCCGGCUAACUCCGUG